rnacentral:rRNA from 1 species
GACGAACGCUGGCGGCGUGCCUAAUACAUGCAAGUAGAACGCACAGUUUAUACCGUAGCUUGCUACACAAUAAACUGUGAGUUGCGAACGGGUGAGUUACGCGUCGCGAACCUGCCUGGUAGCGGGGGAUAACUAUAGGAAACGAUAGCUAAUAUAGCAUAAUAUUGAUUAUUGCUUGAUAAUUGAUUGAAAGGUGCAAUUGCAUCACUACCAGAUGGACCUGCGUUGUAUUAGCUAGUAGGUGAGGUAAAGGCUCACCUAGGCGACGAUACAUAGCCGACCUGAGAGGGUGAUCGGCCACACUGGGACUGAGACACGACCCAGACUCCUACGAGAGGCAGCAGUAGGGAAUCUUCGGCAAUGGACGAAAGUCUGACCGAGCAACGCCGCGUGAGUGAAGAAGGUUGUCGGGUCGUAAAGCUCUGUUGUAAGAGAAGAACGGGUGUGAGAGUGGAAAGUUCACACUGUGACGGUACCUGACCAGAAAGGGACGGCUAACUACGUG